CGGGAGGGAACAAUGGGCGGAUUUCAGCCGUCCGGGCCGGGCAGCCUUCCUUUGAGGCCCCAGAGAUGCGAUAAGAGGCAAUGUCCAGGUCUUAGUCCCUGGAACCUGUGAAUAUGUUACCUUACUUGGCAAGAGGAACUUUACAGAUGGGAUUAUGUUAAGGAUCUUAAAACAAGGAGAUUAUCCUGGAUUAUCCACGUGGGCCUGGUGUCAUCACAAAGAUCCUUCUAAGUGGGAGGAGAAAAUCCUUUUGCCCAACUGGUGAUGGAGAAAAAACUCCACAACAGAAGAGAAACCCAUCCCACUUCUCAAGGACAUUGAGAGAUGUAGUUGGGGAAAAGGAAGUCAGCCUCGGGCUCCGGGUGCUGGAGGUCAGCAAGGCUUACUGUCGGGG
rnacentral:lncRNA from 1 species